rnacentral:rRNA from 1 species
GACGGAGGAGGCAAGCGUUAUCCGGAAUUAUUGGGCGUAAAGGGCGCGUAGGCGGCUAGAUGUGUCAAAGGUGAAAUCCCUCGGCUCAACUGAGGAACUGCCUUUGAAACUGUCUGGCUUGAGGCCGGGAGAGGGUAGCGGAAUUCCCAGUGUAGCGGUGAAAUGCGUAGAUAUUGGGAGGAACACCAGUGGCGAAGGCGGCUACCUGGACCGGUUCUGACGCUGAGGCGCGAAAGCGUGGGUAGCAAACAGG